UACGUAGGGGGCUAGCGUUGCUCGGAAUCACUGGGCGUAAAGGGUGCGUAGGCGGGUCUUUAAGUCAGGGGUGAAAUCCUGGAGCUCAACUCCAGAACUGCCUUUGAUACUGAGGACCUUGAGUACGGGAGAGGUGAGUGGAACUGCGAGUGUAGAGGUGAAAUUCGUAGAUAUUCGCAAGAACACCAGUGGCGAAGGCGGCUCACUGGCCCGUAACUGACGCUGAGGCACGAAAGCGUGGGGAGCAAACAGG
rnacentral:rRNA from 1 species